GACGAACGCUGGCGGCGUGCUUAACACAUGCAAGUCGAACGGAAAGGCCCUGCUUUUGUGGGGUGCUCGAGUGGCGAACGGGUGAGUAACACGUGAGUAACCUGCCCUUGACUUUGGGAUAACUUCAGGAAACUGGGGCUAAUACCGGAUAGGAGCUCCUGCUGCAUGGUGGGGGUUGGAAAGUUUCGGCGGUUGGGGAUGGACUCGCGGCUUAUCAGCUUGUUGGUGGGGUAGUGGCUUACCAAGGCUUUGACGGGUAGCCGGCCUGAGAGGGUGACCGGCCACAUUGGGACUGAGAUAGGGCCCAGCCGCCUACGGGAGGCAGCAGUGGGGAAUAUUACACAAUGGGCGGAAGCCUGAUGCAGCCCCGUCGCGAGCGGGAUGACGGCUUGCGGGUUGUGAACCGCUUUCGCCUGUGACGAAGCGUGCGUGACGGUAAUGGGUAAAGAAGCACCGGCUAACUACGUG
rnacentral:rRNA from 1 species